ACAGUGCAUCAACAUGGAGAAUAAGUGCCAGUUCCAAUGCAAGUCUUAGUGCCAGUGAAGACUUGGUUACAAAUUACAGCCCAGUUCAGAUGGUGACAGACCUUAAUGUGACCAGUGAGACAUACAACAUCAGUGACUCAGUGAUCUGCACCUGUUCCUGCCAUACUGUGAUGCAAGCUUUGCGGGAAGAGAAGCUACGGCUCCAGAUCAGGGUGCUCAAAAAACAGCUUGGCGAAGAAUGAUUAUAGCCUCGGA